rnacentral:rRNA from 1 species
GUCCACGCCCUAAACGAUGUACACUAGUUGUUGCUAUACUAGAUAUGGCAGUAAUGCAGUUAACACUUUAAGUGUACCGCCUGGGGAGUACGGUCGCAAGAUUAAAACUCAAAGGAAUAGACGGGGACCCGCACAAGCGGUGGAGCAUGUGGUUUAAUUCGACGAUACGCGAAAACCUUACCUGGCCUUGACAUAGUAAGAACUUUCUAGAGAUAGAUUGGUGCUAGCUUGCUAGAGCUUACAUACAGGUGCUGCACGGCUGUCGU